UCCGUAGGCGGGCUAAUAAGUCAGGGGUGAAAUCCCACAGCUUAACUGUGGAACUGCCUUUGAUACUGUUAGUCUUGAGUUAUAUGGAAGUAGAUAGAAUGUGUAGUGUAGCGGUGAAAUGCAUAGAUAUUACACAGAAUACCGAUUGCGAAGGCAGUCUACUACGUAUAUACUGACGCUAAUGGACGAAAGCGUGGGGAGUGAACAGGAUUAUACCCUGGUAGUCC
rnacentral:rRNA from 1 species